rnacentral:rRNA from 1 species
CCUACGGGUGGCAGCAGUGGGGGAUAUUGCACAAUGGGGGGAACCCUGAUGCAGCGACGCCGCGUGAGUGAAGAAGCGCCUCGGCGCGUAAAGCCCUGUCAGCAGGGAAGAAAAUGACGGUACCUGAAGAAGAAGCACCGGCUAACGACGUGCCAGCAGCCGCGGUAAUACGUAGGGGGCAAGCGUUAUCCGGAUUUACUGGGUGGAAAGGGGGCGCAGACGGCGGUGGAAGCCAGGAGUGAAAGCCCGGGGCCCAACCCCGGGACUGCUCUUGGAACUGCGUGGCUGGAGUGCAGGAGGGGCAGGCGGAAUUCCUGGUGUAGCGGUGAAAUGCGUAGAUAUCAGGAGGAACACCGGUGGCGAAGGCGGCCUGCUGGACUGCAACUGACGUUGAGGCCCGAAAGCGUGGGGAGCAAACAGGAUUAGAUACCCCGGUAGUC